rnacentral:tRNA from 1 species
AGUAACUCAGUUGGAUAGAGUAACUGCCUUCUAAGCAGUAAGUCGGGGGUUCGAAUCCCUCCUGG